UAAGCCACAGAGAACAUUCCACUGUACAAAGUCAGCUUAUCACAAGAUUUUUUUUUUUUUUCCCCUAAAAAAAAAAAAAAAUCUUGUGAUAAGCUGACUUUGUACAGUGGAAUGUUCUCUGUGGCUUAACAAGACAUAAACAGUAGUCUUGGGAAUAUAUAUGAUAGGGCUUUUGGCUCUUG
rnacentral:sRNA from 1 species